rnacentral:lncRNA from 1 species
GCUAGCUUCUUCAUCAACCCCGCCGAAAGCCAUCCCCCGACAUACCCGUGCAUUGAGAAGGUUUGGUGGCCGUACUCCCAACACAAAAGCAUAACCGAGGACAACCCCAAGCUAAAGUAAACUCGAAGCCAACCCAUCGUCGCCCACACUAGUCGGUGAAAAUGGUGUGCUUCCCGGGGUUGGAAUAGACAUUCUCUCGCGAGCAAAAGAUUGUCUAUGCCAACCCCGGGAAGCACACCAUUUCACCCACUCCCGCCCCGUGUGGUGUGGCGGUGAUUGGAUAGUUACGGAUUGAGCAAUUGCCAUGGAUGAUCAAAAUGUGUAAUUUGGAAGGAUUUUUGUCAAAAAGUUUUUAAAAUCUCGUGGGUUUGCGACUCAUAGGAGCAUCACUUUCAACGUCCCCGGUAUUGGGUUGAGUUUCUAAAAACAACCGUGCACACCGAGGUUAAACUUUACCGGGUCCGCUCCGACUCGCCACUCGCCCACUACUCCGAAAGAAACGAAACAUUUGUUUUUCAUUUUGAUGAAAAUUUCUGAUUUGAAAUCGUUUUGGUUUGAAAUUGUUUUGAAAAGGUUCUUUAAAUCUUGUGGGUUUGCAACUCGUAGGAGCAUCACUUUCAACGUCCCCGGUAUUGGAUUGAGUUUCUAAAAACAACCGUGCACACCGAGGUUAAACUUUACCGGGUCCGCUCCGACUCGCCGCUCGCCCACUACUCCGAAGGCAACGAAACAUUUGUUUUUAAUUUUGAUGAAAUUCUUUUGAAAAAAUUGGCUUGGCAACCCCAAUCCGCGACUAUCCACCCACCGCCACCCCACACGGGUGGUUGUUAGUUGCGAAAUGAGGUUGUUGUCGACAUGCCGGUGCAUUGAGAAGGAGUUCCUAGCAACUCCGAGCAACUCCGUGCUCUCCCAUGCAAAAAAAAGCAUUUCGCAACUUUCCACGCCUUUUUUUUUUUUUUUUUUUUUUCCCACCUCACCUGGUGGCGGCCGGAACCGGCCGCCACCGCCAUGGGUGGCAGCCCCCCACCCCGACACCAAACCCAUAAUACCGAGGCAACAUAUCGAGGCAACAUGACAUGGGUGUGGCGUGGGGAAGGGGGCUGCAGCUAGGAAGGCAUGGGCUGCCAUGCAUAUGCAGGCAACACACACCCCCCUAUAUAGCAUUUAUGCAUUUUGCCCUUUGACAGGAGGAGACAUCAACUAUGCGCGAGGAGUCAUAAUGGGCUCUAAAUAAUUCAAUACAAGGUAUUUUGACGUGAUUUUUGCAGAGACACUAACAAAAAUGCAAUCUAUGAUGGGAAAAGUUUCAUAAAUUUUUGAGGUCGGGAAGUAUUUUUUAUUAUUUUUAGAAGUCGUAAAAUUGAAAAAAUCAUUAAAAAAAAUCGGGGAGGAAUUUUUUAAUUUUUUAGUUUUGUAAGUUGGAGAAGGUCCUAAAAAUCAUGGGGAGCUUAUUGUGCGAGGAAAUUUCAAUAAAAAAGGGGUUGACAAGGUUUGAAAAAUUCUGUCGACAUUUGUGGGCAUGCUGUGGGCAUAUGUGGGCAUGCUGUGGCAGCAAUGCCAAGGGCUGGGCAGCAAUGGCAUGUCAAGCUGCCAAUAGCCUCACUUGACUGGGGAGCAAUGCCAAGGCCAUGCCAAGGCAAGGCAUGCCAAGGCAUGCCAAGGCACGAAAUGCCAAGGCAAGGCAUGCCAAGCCAAGGCAUGCCAAGGCACGAAAUGCCAAGCCAAGGCAUGCCAUGCCAAGGCAAGACAUGCCAAGGCAAGGCAUGCCAAGCUGCCAAGCUUCCAAUAGCCUCACUUUCUUGAAAUGCCUUGAAUGGGGCAAUGCCAAGGCCAAGGCAAGGCAAGGCAAGGCAAGGCAAGGCAUGUCAAGGCCAAGGCACGACAUGCCAACGCAAGGCAAGGCAAGGCAUGCCAACGCAAGGCAAGGCAAGGCAAGGCAUGCCAAGGCCAUGCCAAGCCAAGCUUCCAAUAGCCUCACUUUCUCGAAAUGCCUUGAAUGGGGCAAUGCCAAGGCCAAGCCAAGGCAAGGCAAGGCAUGUCAAGGCCAAGGCAUGCCAAGGCCAAGGCAUGCCAAGGCCAAGGCACGACAUGCCAACGCAAGGCAAGGCAAGGCAUGCCAAGGCCAUGCCAUGCCAAGCUUCCAAUAGCCUCACUUUCAAGGCAUGCCAAGGCCAUGCCAUGCCAAGCUUCCAAUAGCCUCACUUUCUCGAAAUGCCUUGAAUGGGGCAAUGCCAAGGCCAAGCCAAGGCAAGGCAAGGCAUGUCAAGGCCAAGGCAUGCCAAGGCCAAGGCACGACAUGCCAACGCAAGGCAAGGCAAGGCAUGCCAACGCAAGGCAAGGCAAGGCAAGGCAUGCCAAGGCCAUGCCAUGCCAAGCUUCCAAUAGCCUCACUUUCUCGAAAUGCCUUGAAUGGGGCAAUGCCAAGGCCAAGGCAAGGCAAGGCAAGGCAUGUCAAGCCCAAGGCAUGCCAAGGCCAAGGCCAAGGCACGACAUGCCAACG